AAAAAAGCUUGUCCAAUGUUACCGAGUAGAGUCAAUAUUUUGAGGCAGUCUCCAUACGUGUUCUUAAGACGAGGGUAAAUUUAGGACGGACAUAUGCACAAUGAUUGAUGUUCAUCGGGUGGGACGAUCGGUGUGCCAACGUAGUCGCGUUGGCCACCAUACACGCGUUCUGAUGCCAGCUCUCAUCGCCUUCCAAACACAUGCUUUUGCUGUGUCGGGUUAGGAUUAUAAAUUUGUGUAUCGAUAUAUACCCAUUCGCCUAUACCACCACCAGGAGAACAAGAGAGGACCAAAGAGGGAGAGAAGAGAGAGAGAGAUCUGCCGCUACCAUCAUCAUGAAGGCAACCGGCAUCGUCACGGUCGCUUCUACGGCGAUCAUGGCGGCCGCCUCGUACUCGACUGCGGUGUCCGGCUCGCUCUCGGAUCCCAAACUCCAAGCUCCAAACCAGGGCCGAGAGUCGUCGUCUCAGGAGAAGCAGAAGCAGAAGCAGGAAGAUGGAUCGACUCCGAGAUUCGACGGGUUGCGGUUCAUCGAGUCGCUCGUCACCGCGCAUCGAUGAGAUGAGACCGCGCACCGUUUGCUGCUACCAAUGAUUGCACAUCAUUCUUCUCGACGGUGCAACUACGUUUGAUCAUUGCUGUUUAGUGGUUGGAGAAGGUGUAAUUUUCUUCCCCCUGUUUUCGUGUUUACAAUGAAACGAGAAGCACAUGUUCCAUGUGAUGCUGCUGUUUAAUCGUGGUUACGUCCUGCGGAAGUCGAUCUCGUCGACCACGUUAUACGCAGCCGCUCCUUGUUUUUCUCUUUUCCAAUAACAAGAUAACGAUUGCCUGA